rnacentral:rRNA from 1 species
AGCCUUUGGAAAGGAUUAAAGGUUAUACCUGCCCAAUGUUAUAUUAAUGGCCGCGGUACUUUGACCGUGCUAAGGUAGCACAAUCAAUUGGCCCUUAAUUAGGGUCAGGUAUGAAUGGAGUUACGGGGCUUAGCUGUCUCUAGACUAUUUAAUUGAAGUUGCUAUAUAGGUGAAAAAGCCUGUAUUAAGAAAAAAGACGAGAAGACCCUUAGAGUUUUACUUAAAAAAGAGUUAUUUCUUCACUAGUUUUGUUGGGGCAACAUAGGAGAAGAACUAAACCUCCUAAAGGAUAUAAACCGAUGUUUUUAAAUGUGAAUAAACUACCUUAGGGAUAACAGCAUAAUUUUAAAAAUAAGUUUGUGACCUCGAUGUUGGACUAGGAAACUUAAGGGCUAGCCGCCUUUUGGUAAGGUUCUGUUCGAACUAUAAUUCCU